UGGGGAAUUUUGGACAAUGGGCGCAAGCCUGAUCCAGCCAUGCCGCGUGAGUGAAGAAGGCCUUCGGGUUGUAAAGCUCUUUCGGCUGGGAAGAAAUCGCACUCUCUAAUACAGGGUGUGGAUGACGGUACCAGCAUAAGAAGCACCGGCUAACUACGUGCCAGCAGCCGCGGUAAUACGUAGGGUGCGAGCGUUAUUCGGAAUUACUGGGCGUAAAGCGUGCGCAGGCGGUUGUGUAAGACAGACGUGAAAUCCCCGGGCUCAACCUGGGAACUGCGUUUGUGACUGCACGGCUAGAGUACGGCAGAGGGGGGUGGAAUUCCACGUGUAGCAGUGAAAUGCGUAGAGAUGUGGAGGAACACCGAUGGCGAAGGCAGCCCCCUGGGCCAGUACUGACGCUCAUGCACGAAAGCGUGGGGAGCAAACAGGAUUAGAUACCCUGGUAGUCCACGCCCUAAACGAUGUCAACUAGCUGUUGGUGGGGUUAAACCCAUUAGUAGCGUAGCUAACGCGUGAAGUUGACCGCCUGGGGAGUACGGCCGCAAGGUUA
rnacentral:rRNA from 1 species